AGAAUCAACGCUGGCGGCGUGCCUAACACAUGCAAGUCGAACGAGAAAGUGGUAGCAAUACCAUGAGUAAAGUGGCGCACGGGUGAGUAACACGUGACUAACCUACCCUGGAGUGGGGGAUAACUGAGGGAAACCUUAGCUAAUACCGCAUAAUACCCACGGGUCAAAGGAGCAAUUCGCUCCAGGAGGGGGUCGCGGCCGAUUAGUUAGUUGGCGGGGUAAUGGCCCACCAAGACGAUGAUCGGUA
rnacentral:rRNA from 1 species